rnacentral:rRNA from 1 species
UACAGAGGUCUCAAGCGUUGUUCGGAUUCAUUGGGCGUAAAGGGUGCGUAGGCGGCGCGGUAAGUCGGGUGUGAAAUCUCGGAGCUUAACUCCGAAACUGCAUUCGAUACUGCCGUGCUUGAGGACUGGAGAGGAGACUGGAAUUUACGGUGUAGCGGUGAAAUGCGUAGAUAUCUGGAGGAACACCGGUGGCGAAGGCGGCAUCCUGGACCGGCAUUGACGCUGAGGCGCGAAAGCCAGGGGAGCAAACGGG